UGAGGGAACACUAAGAGCUGGCAUUUUCCAGGGGGUGCCUUGAGUCUAAUGAGGGGUGCCUUAAUUUGAAAAGAUUGAGAGCCACUGGUAGAUUGUCAGUGAAAACAACUAAUAGUGUAGUUAAAGACUAAAGGCCUCUUUUUAUCAACUAUUAAAGCGAGCAGCAUCAGCAUGUCAUCCCAAUGAAAAUUAAUAGGACUUAAAAACGAUUUGCAAGGUGGGACUUUCAAGUGACUAAAUACAAGCUGUUACGCUGAUCUGUUAAGAGAGUCUAGUAAAUAGCUAUUAUAUUAUGAGAUUGUAUUUCAGAAAGACUUUAAUAAGAUUAAUUCUUUUUUUUUAUAUGGAAGAGACUAUUUUUGCUUGAACCUCUGUGUAGUUCUAGCAGGUGCACGGUAUUUUGGUGGAUGAGCCGGCUCUUUUGGAGAAGCAGUGAAAGGUAGCAGAGGUGUUCAUUCUCUCUCUCUCUCUCUCUCUCAGUAGAAUGCCCAUGUUCGGGGUAGCAAUUAAAAGUUUCCUGAAACUGAGAUAUAAAAAACUCAGGCUAAACCAGAGCUGAGGAGAAAGGGACACAACAUGCUGACUCAAAGACAGAAGCAAAACUCUUCAGUCUGUUUCUUCCUUGGUUUGGACUUCCUCACUGCUGCCUGGCAGAAAACUUAGUUUUUAAGGGUGGAUUGUUCUGCAAACCUGCAUGGUUAUGUGACUGGGCAUUUAGAUGAAAAAGAAUAAGAGAUGAAACAGCUGAUAACCAAUAACUGAACUCCAGUGUCUCCUAUAAAGCUUUCUCUAGUUUUCUGGAAAUUUAUUUUAUUUAGAGGAAUGCUCCUAAUUGGUUGUAAAUUGGUAUGCAUGGUGUUUGUGACAUGAGUAGCUUUUAUAGCUAAUAGAAAUAUCUUUACACAUUUAAAAAAAACCCACACAGAUUAAGAAAAGCAAGCAUUGCAAAAAAUCUGAAGUUUCUGCAGAUACAACACAGUCUUUUCAGAACUUAAUAGUGAAGUGGACUUUGUGGAUUUUCCUUGUCCUAGUAGAGACAUGCAAACAUGGAAGAGAGAACUAAAUAUGCUAUAGGAAUGCCUAAAUUCAGAUACUUAAAUAAAGGCAGUCUGAUAUACAGGUGUGACGAACACCUGUCAUUCCCAUUGACUUUAGUGAUGUUUUCAUAUGGAGCAUCUUUGGAUUAUUAAGCCAUUUAGGUGUCUAGGGGAUUUAGAAGCAGGAUUUUAAAAGCGUCUAAGUAGUUUAGAAGCAUAAAGUCCUGUAGACUUUUGCCAAGACUUAGGCUUCCAGUCACGUAGGUGUUUUGGAAAGUUCUGUUGUAAGGUCCUAACUUCAAGCACACCAAUUCAAAUAUCUGAGAGAAAAAGUUGCUGAUUUGUCUUGCUGUUUUCCCUUCUUAAGUCAGAGCACAUCUUUGUGAAGCAUUUGUGGAAAGUCGGCAUCUCCAGGGAUUUGUUUCCAUAACAACCUCCCAGACUAUUUCUCUGUACCUUGUGACUUUGGCUACAAGCAAAACACUGGCUAAAUAUUCCAACUUCCCAGACACAAAUGCCCCAUUAUUACAACUGUUUGGAGAAGUGGUUUCUUUUGCUUACCAAAGAAGGUGUGCUCCCAUCCCCAAACACCUCCUGCUUCUGCUCUGUAUGCAGUCAAGACUGACAGACAUUACAGAUGUUUGAUGGCAACAGACAAUGCAUACAGGAAAAGGGGAGGCACUUGCAUAUGCUACUGCAAAUGGUUACAGUUUCUGCUGGUAAGAUCAGCGUCUGUUGCAGGCUGUGUGGGGCUGAAAAUAGAUUGACUGGUAUUCCCUGCCAGGCCCCUCCAUUUAAUGUAAAAAGAUUCCCAUGAAGACAAAGAAGCAUGAGUGCAGAGGGAAUUCAGCCCAGCAAGAUGCAGGGUCAGGAAAGAAGCAUCUUCCCCACUGUGCUGGAGUGAACACAGUAAUUCCCAGAGGAGAAGAGCUACAGCAUCUGCUAGGGUAGCAAAAAUAGGCAACAGAAACAGAAAAGUCCUUUACAAAUGGGUAAGAUAUAAGGACAAGCCAUGUCUGAUGCCCCCAGAAAAGUAACCAGAACACCACGCCAAUUCCAGUGAUGGUAACAUGGAAACUGAGGCCUGUUGACCAUCUUACAGGCUGUUCAUUCAAAGUGCUCUGGAAUUCCCUAGGGACAUUGAAACAGACACCUGUGCACCUCCACAGCACUGGGAUAAGGAUGCCUAUUUUAAGUCCUCCUCCAGCUGAAGGGCCUAGGGCUGGCAAAUGCUUAGGUCAGCUCUGAGGAGGGCAACAUGACAGUUACUCUCUAGAAAAUUACAUGGUCAGCCUGUCUGUCUGUCUGUCCAUCCCUCCAUGCCCUGGAUCACUGUGCAUUUAUAAACUACAUUUUCAUAAGUCAGAUAAACGGUAGGUGUUUAACCAAACCCAGUGAAUUAUAACUGUCCUAUUAAUGUUUUACAACUGUGAUGAUUAGCUGUGAUAUCGAAGGGGUGUGUGCAAUAUAGAGGCAUUUCACAUCCUCCUGUAAGGUAUCUUGCUUAUUUUGUGUGCAGUGAUUGUUUGUCACAUACAUGUUGCUGAUGCUUCUCUCAAAGGAGGCAGAUUAUAGUGCUUUUCAUUGACCGUGGAGAGCCUAAGAAAUAACACUGUUCAGUUCUCAUCUUCUAAUUCAGAAAGUAUAGUGUCCAAGUACUUCUAAAAUGCAGUCUGAUCGUAUGUGUUGUCUUGAAAUGCUCAGAGUCCCUUUUCAUUGAUCAGUUGUGUAAAAACCUUUUCAAGCCCCAAGGCUCACGAAAGGCCUCCUAAGCCCGAGCAAACAAGGGGGUAAAACCUGAAGGAAGACUGAAAUAGAAGGGAACAGAGGAGGGAUGGGAAAUGAUCCUCUGGCCCAUAAUGCACUGUGCUUGACAAUAGCAAGCACCUGUAUGUAGCCAUGCAGCCAAAGGUGAAUGGCCAAAGCUGGAAUGAAUGUUUCAUGCCCUUGGAGAUGGGUAGAAGUGGGUGAGAGAAGCCUAAAGGAGUUAGGUGUUAAACUCCUACUGAACCUGAAUGGGUGUUGGAUACUUAACUCACAUUGCCUCCCUUUAUAAAUCCUACCCCAUAAGUUUACAUGGGAGACUUUUUAAACUGAUUGGCAGUCAUUUGUUUCUGGCAGUUUGUGAACAGUGAUGGAGGAGAGAUCCCCUUUAAGAUGCAGCUCCCUGCCCUUGGUAGCCUGGAUGCUACCUCCUAGAGGCUGUUGACUUACAGGUGCAGUCCUUUGAACUGCAUUGUACUCCCUGAUCCCUCUGCCUUCAGUAGAAUUUGCUGGCGCUCAGCAUCUCAUAGGAUUAGGCCCAGAGAGAUUUGGGACAGUGGAGACAAAAAUACCCAGGAAGCCUCUCUUGCUUUAGGUCCUCAGAGCUGAUGUCUUGCUGUUAGAUGGGUUUGCAAGGAAAUAGGGGUGUUAAAGGAUUGUGGAGGCCCACAUCCUCUUGCUAGUAUUUCAGACCAUUGAAACUACACCAGUUUACACCAGCUGAGUCCCAGUAUUUCUGACAAGAGUCCAGCUGUUUUUCUCUUCUCCUUUAAAAUCCAGUAUUUUAAAAUGAAUUGAUUUGGGGAAAGGGAGGCAUUUAACUAGCUUCUCAGAUCUUGAUUCUGAAAUUCAGUAAUUACACUGUGCAGGAUCCUUGCUGGGUGUCCUUGCAUCACGGGUGGAAGGCUACACUGAGGAGGAGGGAGCUGACCAAGCUUGUUCAGUAACAUGCUGCAUCCUUCUGCAUAUGGUUCCAUGCUGAUCAAAUCUAGCCUCACAUAAGUGAGAAGCUGAUUAGCUCAGUUGCUAGAUAUCUGUGAUUACUCUUGCCAGUUAAUCCACUGUUAACGGGCUGGCCAUAUGAAUAAAACCAUAUUUUUAAAACAUUA